rnacentral:misc_RNA from 1 species
CCCUUGUGGAGGAGGACGCCGAAGGUGGGGCUAAUGACUGGGGUGAAGUCGUAACAAGGUAGCCGUACCGGAAGGUGCGGCUGGAUCACCUCCUAACAGGGAGACAACAAAAUGUUUAAUAUUAUUAUUUUGUCACCUUAGGUCGAUCGGUAUCUCACGUUUUUAAUUUUAUUAAGAAUUUCAUUUCCUAAGUUUUUCUAGGUCACACCCAUUAUUUUUCCUGGGCCAUUAGCUCAGGUGGUUAGAGCGCACCCCUGAUAAGGGUGAGGUCCCUGGUUCAAGUCCAGGAUGGCCCAUAUCUCUAUGUUGUGGGGGUAUAGCUCAGUUGGUAGAGCGCCUGCUUUGCAAGCAGGAUGUCAGCGGUUCGAGUCCGCUUACCUCCACUGAUUACCACCUCUUCCAUAACCGGUAGAAAGGAAAUGUUUUGAGUUGUGAUCAAAUCCUGAAAGAAUCUAGCUUCCUAAUGAAAUCAUUAAGAUGCUGGACUCAUUGAAUUAACUUCAUUGUUUUCAGAGAACCUUGACAACUGCAUAGAUUAUUUUUAAAGACAAUAAGCAUCUUUAAUGAUGCAGAUUUAUUAUUUGUGCAAAUGCAUUAAUAACAAUUCUAUUAAGCUGAUGCUUCAAUUUUUGAAGUUAUUGGUCAAGCUACAAAGGGCUCACGGAGGAUACCUAGGCACACAGA